UCCGCUGACGAGUGGCGAACGGGUGAGUAAUAUAUCGGAACGUACCUAGUAAUGGGGGAUAACUAAUCGAAAGGUUAGCUAAUACCGCAUACGCCCUAAGGGGGAAAGAGGGGGAUUCGCAAGAACCUCUUGUUAUUAGAGCGGCCGAUAUCUGAUUAGCUAGUUGGUGAGGUAAAGGCUCACCAAGGCGACGAUCAGUAGCUGGUCUGAGAGGACGACCAGCCACACUGGAACUGAGACACGGUCCAGACUCCUACGGGAGGCAGCAGUGGGGAAUUUUGGACAAUGGGCGCAAGCCUGAUCCAGCAAUGCCGCGUGAGUGAAGAAGGCCUUCGGGUUGUAAAGCUCUUUUGUCAGGGAAGAAACGGCCUGUUCUAAUACAGUGGGCUAAUGACGGUACCUGAAGAAUAAGCACCGGCUAACUACGUGCCAGCAGCCGCGGUAAUACGUAGGGUGCAAGCGUUAAUCGGAAUUACUGGGCGUAAAGCGUGCGCAGGCGGUUGUGCAAGACAGGUGUGAAAUCCCCGGGCUUAACCUGGGAAUGGCAUCUGUGACUGCACGGCUAGAGUGUGUCAGAGGGGGGUAGAAUUCCACGUGUAGCAGUGAAAUGCGUAGAGAUGUGGAGGAAUACCGAUGGCGAAGGCAGCCCCCUGGGA
rnacentral:rRNA from 1 species